AUGGUUAAAUACUGCCAUUGGACCAAAAUGUUUCUGAUGUCAACCUCUUCAGAGAUAAACAGUGGGCAGAACUUCUUAACCCAGUGGAUGGCGAAUCCUUCUCGGGCUGGGGUCAUAUUAAAUCGUGGAUUUCCUAUUUUAGAAGCAGAGGAAGAGAAGCCAGCAAAUGUGAACUUUUCUACCAGCUUUCCUAUUAAAGCUACAAAAUUUUCAAAUAGUUUAAGCUUUAUAAGGGAAGAAGAUUCACUUCAUGAAGAACAGAAAUUGGAGCCUAACAGCCCGUACAAGUUACAGUCAGAUAAAUCUGAACCACAGAGAGUCUUUCCUUUAACUAAAGAGGGGCCACAGCUAGUGGCACAUCAGGAUGUUCCUGGACAAUGGGAAGAUAGCAAAAAUGAGUUUAUCACAGAUCUUUUGAGUGAAUUCAAAGAAGUGCCUUAUAAAGACCCACUUGUUAAAAAGCUUGAACAGCUGAAAGAAGAGCAACAGAAGAAGCAGGAGCAGCUGAAGAGGCGACAGCUCGAGCAGUUGCAGAGGCUCAUGGGUGAGCAGGAGGAGCUACUCUCCUUGGUGUCUGGGCAGCAGACACUUCCAGGUUUAACUCCACUGCCUGAUGACCAGAGCCAGAAAAAGUACAGACCUCUGGGAAAUUCAACCACUGUAGAGAAAACCAUGCCCUUCUUGCCAUCAUAUAUCUACCAGAAUCAAAGCCAAGAAAAAAAACACCCUUCUAACAUUUUAUCCAGUGAACAAAACGACUUCUGUAGAACUACUCAUCAGGAUUUUGUUUUAACUUCAAGAAGUGGUGCUUCUCCCAGUGUGUUUUAUGAGGCACAGUGUCAGGAAGCACUUGUGAAAAAAAAUGAUUUGAAGGAAGAAAACGAUAACUAUUCUAAAGGAGAAGGUAUUUUACCAUGUUUGGAGAAAAUGACGGAACAGAUUCAGGAAGGGAACGAUACGAACUUAAAAAAAAUUGGUGAUUCCUCAGAAGUGGUUAAUAUUGAAGAAAGGCCUAUUAAAGCUGCUAUUAGAGAAAGGAAACAAACUUUUGAAGACUACUUAGAGGAACAGAUUCGAUUGGAAGAACUAGAACUGCAACAAAAACAGCUAAAGGAAGCAGAAGGAUCUUUGCUUAUCAAAGCAAAACCAAAACAACCAUUCUUAAAACGAGGAGAAGGUUUAGCCAGAUUUACUAAUGCUAAAUCUAAGUUUCAGAAGGGGAGAGAAAGUAACCUAGUCACUACUCAGAGCAUUUCAGAGGACCAGCCUGUGUUUAAAUCAGAUAAACAACAAUUCCAGCGGAAAACUGCUCUUAUAAAUAAAGAAAUCUGUACAGAGAACCUUCCUGUUAAAAAGAACAGUAAAGUCAGAACCAAGUGUCGUUCUCUCACACUCAGUCAGAAGCCAAAAGUGCUUAAGAGUAGUAGUAGGAAAAGUCUCUCUCCAUCAGGAUUGAAAAUGCCAGCAGAGAAGAAAUGUGAUGGGCAAUUUAGAGAGCAGAUCAGUUUAGGAAAAAAAGUGGAAUCUAAUAAUAAAGAAAAUGUACCUGAGUGUACAAAACCUUGUGGUGUUGGUUGCACAAUCUGGAAUAAGGCACACAAUAAAGACAGACUUCCCAUUUCCACAGGAUUCAUCAGCUGUAUGGCUUCUCAGAACCCAGCAAGUGAAACUUUGAAAGGGUCAGAAUCUUCUCUUGAUGAUUCUCUUCAGAAAAAGUUAGAGAAUUGGGAACGAGAAAAGGAAAAGGAAAAUUUGGAAUUAGAUGAAUUUUUGUUUUUAGAAAAAGCUGCUGAUGAAAUAUCAUUCUCUAGUAACUCCUCAUUUGUACUGAAGAUCUUAGAGAGGGAUCAGCAGAACUGCAGAGGUCGCCGGCUGUCUUCUACCCCUGUCAAAGGUGUGCGGGAAGAGAAGACAGCAACACCAAGUUCUGUUAGUCUGUAUAACCAAAAUGAGGAUCCGGACCGUGCCCAGUGUGGAAGCAAGGCUGAGUGCGAGGUUGCUCCCAGACAGCUUGAUUCAGUGUUCUCACCCGGAGGAUUGUGGGCGCCGUCCUGUGAAGUCAGGAGGAGAGUGUACCAAACGAAUCCUCCUGAAAGGCAGACCAGGUGGAGUGCAGGUGAUGGUGAAGGUGUUACAGACAGUGAUCAUAGCACCGAUUUGGAGGAACAGCUUGACGUCACUAUAAAGCCAUCAUCUGAGGGUAAGGAAAGGAGUUCCAGCAGCAGAGAAGAUAGUCCGCAAGUCUGUGAUGGUAAGGGACCUUUUCGGGACACCACGACUCAAGAGGAAGAGAAAAGGAGAGAUGUUGAUUUAGAUUUGUCUGAUAAGGAUUAUAGCAGUGAUGAUUCUCUCAUUAUAGAAAGCUUGAAAAAUAAAGUUUCUGAUUCCUCCGGAAGACACUCAUCUAUAAGUGUGAAUAAAAUUGACUUUGAUGAUGAAAGAACUUGGACUGACCUUGAAGAUAAUUCAUUUAAACAUGACGGUGUUCUUGGGAAUGAAGCCAUUUAUGGGACUCCCCAGACAACCUGCCCUAGCAAGAGUGAAAUGUGUGUACUGGACAAAACGAUAAAAAGGAAGGUUGUGCCAGUCAAGAAGGGAGAAGACUUGGGCAAAUCCAGCAGGGGCCCAAGCCCUCCUCCUACCUCAGAUCUGAUGAUGGAAUUCUUUCCUUCUCUGAAAUCGAAGUCAAAGUCACACUCAAAGUCACACUCAUGCUUGGGAAAGGAUCCCAAGUUAAACACAAGUCAAGACCACCCACCUGGUGGCAAUGCUCGAUCUCAAGUUUUGAGAGAGAAAAUUAUUGAAUUGGAAACAGAAAUAGAAAAAUUUAAAGCUGAGAACGCAUCUUUAGCUAAACUUCGCAUUGAACGAGAAAGUGCCUUGGAAAAACUCAGGAAAGAAAUUGCUAACUUUGAACAACAGAAAGCAAAAGAAUUGGCUCGAAUAGAGGAGUUUAAAAAGGAGGAAAUGAGGAAGUUACAAAAGGAACGCAAAGUUUUUGAAAAGUAUUCUACAGUUGCGAGAACUUUUCCAGAUAAAAGGGAACGUGAAGAAAUACAAGCUUUGAAGCGGCAGGUAUCUGAUUUACAGGAAGAUCUGAAAAGAAAGGAAGCAAAGUGGUCUAGUACACAUGGCCGUCUUAGAAGCCAGAUAGAAAUGUUGGUCAGAGAGAACACAGACCUCCGGGAGGAAAUAAAAGUGAUGGAAAGGUUCCGACUGGAAGCCUGGAAGAAAGCAGAAGCCACAGAGAGCAGCGCCAGGAUGGGUCAGUGUGUGACCUCCUCAAAGAAAGAUGGGUUCUUGAAUUCAUCAAUUCGAUUUCAAAAGAGUCAGAUUUCUUCAGGAACCCAGGUAGAAAAGUACAAAAAAAAUCAUUUGCCAACACAAGGCAAUCCAUCUCAAAGAUCCAAGUCUGAGCCUCGUGAUUUAGGCAGCUUGGAGAAGGGACAGAUGGCCUCACCCAGGGAGCUGCCUGAACCAGUGAACUUUCCAGAUCCUGACUAUAAAGAAGAAGAUGAAAAAGAGGAAAUUGAGGGAGAAAUCAGCCAUCCUGAUGGAAAGAUAGAGAAGGUUUAUAAGAAUGGGUGCCAUGUUGUGUUGUUUCCAAAUGGAACGCGAAAGGAAGUGAGUGCAGAUGGGGAGACCGUCACUGUCACUUUCUUCAACGGUGACAUCAAGCAGGUCAUGCCAGACGGGAGAGUGAUCUACUACUAUGCAGCCACGCAGACUGCCCACACCACAUUCCCAGAAGGGCUGGAAGUUCUACAUUUCUCUAAUGGCCAAAUAGAAAAACAUUUCCCAGAUGGAAGAAAAGAAAUCACAUUUCCUGACCAGACUAUCAAAAACUUGUUUGCUGAUGGACAAGAAGAGAGCAUUUUCCCAGAUGGUACAGUUGUCAGAGUACAACGAGAUGGCAACAAAAUCAUAGAGUUUAAUAAUGGCCAAAGAGAACUACAUACAGCCCAGUUCAAGAGACGGGAGUAUCCAGACGGCACUGUGAAAACUGUGUACACAAACGGGCAUCAGGAGACCAAGUACACAUCUGGUCGAGUAAGAAUGAAAGACAAGGACGGUAAUGUUCUCAUGGACACAAAACUGUCAUGA
rnacentral:lncRNA from 1 species